GUUUGAUCCUGGCUCAGGACGAACGCUGGCGGCGCGCUUAACACAUGCAAGUCGAGCGAGAACCGGGACUUCGGUCCCGGGGACAGCGGCGAACGGGUGAGUAACACGUGGGUAAUCUGCCCUCGAUUCUGGGAUAGCCCGGGGAAACCCGGAUUAAUACCGGAUAGCCUUCCUGGCCUUUGGACCGGGAAGAAAAGGUAGCUUCGGCCUCCGAUCGAGGAUGAGCCCGCGGUGGAUUAGCUUGUUGGCGGGGUAACGGCCCACCAAGGCGACGAUCCAUAGCUGGUCUGAGAGGACGAUCAGCCACACUGGGACUGAGACACGGCCCAGACUCCUACGGGAGGCAGCAGUGGGGAAUCUUGCGCAAUGGGCGAAAGCCUGACGCAGCGACGCCGCGUGGGGGAAGAAGGCCUUCGGGUUGUAAACCUCUUUCAGGAGGGACGAAGCUACUCGGGUGAAUAGCCCAGAGGGUGACGGUACCUCCAGAAGAAGCCCCGGCUAACUACGUGCCAGCAGCCGCGGUAAUACGUAGGGGGCAAGCGUUGUCCGGAUUUAUUGGGCGUAAAGAGCGUGUAGGCGGCCAGGUAGGUCGGUUGUGAAAACUGGAGGCUCAACCUUCAGACGUCGACCGAAACCAUCUGGCUAGAGUCCGGAAGAGGAGAGUGGAAUUCCUGGUGUAGCGGUGAAAUGCGCAGAUAUCAGGAAGAACACCCGUGGCGAAAGCGGCUCUCUGGGACGGUACUGACGCUGAGACGCGAAAGCGUGGGGAGCGAACAGGAUUAGAUA
rnacentral:rRNA from 1 species